CUGAUGAAAAGUGCUAAAAUACUCUGUUAAGUACUGGACCCUGUUAAAGCUUUCUGCACUGAGUAUGUGUUUUGGAAACAAGCCAGCCUGAUCCUACAAAUCCUGUUUUUCUGUGUGAUUUGUUUUACAAGAGCACUCACAUGAGAUAUGGUGCAGGGAGGAAGGCGGGGGGGUC
rnacentral:lncRNA from 1 species